rnacentral:ncRNA from 2 species
AGGGGAAUCCCGUGAGAACCGGGAACUGCCCCGCAACUGUGAAGGGAACGAAAACUGAAAAAGACAGGUUAAGGUUAAGGCAGAGGCAAAGUAAUUUUCUUUACCUUUACCUAUACCUGCUUUUGAUGCCACUUGGCUUUAAAAGCUAGGGAAGGUAAGCAAGUAGGACGCCCUGAGUCAGGAGACCC